GACGAACGCUGGCGGCGUGCUUAACACAUGCAAGUCGAACGGAAAGGCCCUGCUUUUGUGGGGUGCUCGAGUGGCGAACGGGUGAGUAACACGUGAGUAACCUGCCCUUGACUUUGGGAUAACUUCAGGAAACUGGGGCUAAUACCGGAUAGGAGCUCCUGCUGCAUGGUGGGGGUUGGAAAGUUUCGGCGGUUGGGGAUGGACUCGCGGCUUAUCAGCUUGUUGGUGGGGUAGUGGCUUACCAAGGCUUUGACGGGUAGCCGGCCUGAGAGGGUGACCGGCCACAUUGGGACUGAGAUACGGCCCAGACUCCUACGGGAGGCAGCAGUGGGGAAUAUUGCACAAUGGGCGGAAGCCUGAUGCAGCAACGCUGCGUGCGUGAUGACGGCCUUCGGGGUGUAAACCGCUUUCGACUGUGACGAAGCGUGAGUGACGGUAAUGGGUAAAGAAGCACCGGCUAACUACGUG
rnacentral:rRNA from 1 species